rnacentral:sRNA from 1 species
GCCGGACAUGGUGGCGCAUGCUUGUAAUCCCAGUGGCUCAGGAGGCUGAGACAAGAGGAUCGUGAGUUCAAAGCCAGACUCAGUAAAGGUGAGACCCUAAGCAACUCAGUGAGACCCUGUCUCUA